GAACCCAGAGCGAGGCGGCCCCUCCCGGGCCCCGGCUUCACCCCUGCGCCCGCCUCGGGUCCUCCGGGUUCCCGGUGCGGAGGCUGCGGGCCCCGGGCAGGCGCGAGGAGGCGGCGAAGGCGCAGGGAAGGGGCCCGGCCCGCGGGAAGGAACCGCAGCGACAGCCGCCAGGAGCCCGGGACGGAGCCGGGGACGGAGCAGCAGGAACCAGACCAGUCACUUCUAAAGGCCCUCAGAACGACCAACAGCUGAAACCUGUGGGGCGGACUCCGUGUUGAACUGCGGACAGCGGCAACCACAGCAGGGACACGGACCGGUGCUUCCACCAAGAACAGAUUCCGCAGAGGACAGCAGUCACUUGCAGUGGUAGUAUUUAUACCAAACAAACGCCCAGCUAAUGCCUUCACCCGGUCCAGGAACUCUGUAGUGUUCUAAAGUAAAAUCAAUAAAACAUACAUUUGUGUUUCAUCAACA
rnacentral:sRNA from 1 species